rnacentral:rRNA from 1 species
AGAACGAACGCUGGCGGCAUGCCUAAUACAUGCAAGUCGAACGAACUCUUCGGAGUUAGUGGCGCACGGGUGCGUAACGCGUGAGAAUCUGCCCCUUGGUUCGGAAUAACAGUUGGAAACGACUGCUAAUACCGGAUGAUGACGAAAGUCCAAAGAUUUAUCGCCAAGGGAUGAGCCCGCGUAGGAUUAGCUAGUUGGUGAGGUAAAGGCUCACCAAGGCAACGAUCCUUAGCUGGUCUGAGAGGAUGAUCAGCCACACUGGGACUGAGACACGGCCCAGACUCCACGGGAGCAGCAGUAGGGAA